UGAGCAAUCUUAAUUGCUAAAGUAUUCUAACUUUACUAAGGUAUUGUAAUAAGAUUUUAAUUGAAUGCUAAAAGAAUGGAUUAAUACAAGAUUUAUUUUAUUUAAUUUAAAAUUAAAAUUUUAUUUAAAAAUUAAAAAGUUUUUAUACAUUUGAGGGACAAGAAGACCCUAUGAAUUUUAAUUUAUUAGUCUAUCAAUAAAAUAUAAUAAAUUAAUAAAUUUAAUUGGGGCAAUUAAAAUAUAUUAAAAAACUUUAAUUUUAAGGUUUUUUAUAAACAUUAAUAAAAAAAUACUCUAGGGAUAACAGCGUUAUUAUUUUUGAAAGCUCAUAUUGAUAAAAUAGUUUACGACCUCGAUGUUGAAUUAAUAUGUCUAAAAAAAGAAGAAUUUUUUUAAGAAAGAUUGCUCAUCUUUUUAUAUAUUACGUGAUCUGAGUUCAGACCGGA
rnacentral:rRNA from 1 species